ACAGCUACUGUUUUAUUUCCUUAGUGCGGUGUUAUCACGAAGUCCUUCAAGCCUGCAUAAACCAGAAUCAAAGAAGUGCGUUAACAGAAAGAGACCCAAUAGGGCCCAGAAGGUGAAUAUAAAGAAACGCAAGAGGAGUCCCCUCCGAUCAGCCUUUCAGACCCAGACAAUGGGCCGGCCCACCUCUUGUACAGCUGCAUUAAAACCCUGAUCAGAGGACGAGGGGAAGCCCUCUUUCAUCUCCAUGAUGGUGCUUUUCACCUCCACUGGUGACUUACCAUGGACUGGUGCUCCCAUCGCACCCUAGGAUGCCAGACGGUGGAGAAUGCAUGUGUGUGCUGGCAACCACUCCUGUUUCAGAUACCCCUCUACCCAACAUACACAUACACACACCUACUUCACAGUCCUUUAGCACUCCACUUCCAGACUCUGUCCAGGACUCUGACCACACAGAAACCCAGACAGGGCACUGAUGGAUGGGGCUGGAGACAACAGAGAUCCCCUUGAUGUUGGUAAUAAAUCCAACAGGCCCUACUGAAUAAGGCAAAGUCGCAUCUCUCUCAUUGACUUCAGGCUGAAGGGUGUGUAUUUAUCUGUGGGUUUGCCCUUUUUUCUUUAUUCUCAACAACCCUCCCUUGUCUCCAGCUCUGCCUUUCCUUCCUCCUCUACUUCUUCCCUCUAUGCUCGCAGAAAUAAUGCCAUAAUUUACAACUUUGCAUGGUAAAAAUGAAUGAUGGUUUCUUUUCUUGCUUAAUAUGCAUUUGCUGCUACCAGAUAAUAGUCUUUUUGUAAGAAGAAGAAAAGAAAUACCUUCAAAAGGAAUUGAGUUUUUUUAUGUUACAUUCUCUCCCUAAUGUGCUAAAAGUGAUAUAUAAUGCUCAGUCUUUCAUUAGAAACAAAACUGAUAAUGAUGAAAAUGUGCAGCAUUCUUCUAUAGCUGCUCUCUUUUCAUAUUCUUGAGUGAAAUAUUGCAGGGUGGAAAAAAAAUGUUUUUUUUUUCUUUUUCUUUUUCCAUAGGUAUGCUGGCUUUAUAAAGGGGAAACACACACACACACACAUACAGGCACACACACAAAUAAUUUUGCAAACAUCCUUUCCAAAAACAUCUAUUCUUGAUGCAUAUACGUUAUAAAUAUGUAUUCCAUGUCUCUGCCACAAACAACUAUCUCUCUUUUACGUUCACGCGCUGUAGUAGAAGAGACUGAGACUACAGUAUGUGUGUGUUCUGCACAAGAGAAGUUGGAGCUAAGUGUUCAGGGGCCAGUUUCCCAUGGGAACAUGUAACAUGACCUAUGACCAGAGGUCAGAGGCUGUUUGAACUAACAGGGUGUCAAUACGCGACCUUAUCACAGACAAACACAGAUCAAAUGGUAUAUUAACUCCGAACAAGGUCUUGUUUUGAAUUUAGUUUGAUGAACUGACAAGAUUACACAUUUUAUAAACAUGAUCCUAUUUAUAGUUAUGCUGCUUCAGAAUUUAAGGACAAAAUGCAGUAUAACAAUGGUCAUUUCCAUCAUCUUAUGACAGAAAGAUCCAAGAUGUUAUACAAAUACAUUUUUACCAUCUUUACCAAGUCAAAUCCAGCAGACUGGGGAUCACCUUAAAUAAAACUGCACACAUAUGUUCAGAUAAGAUUUUAUUAUUGUUGAAUAGUCCCUUUAUUAUGACACAAUGUGCCAUCAAGGGCACAUAUCACUGUCCUGCAUGGAAAUGAACAUAAUCAGAAGUGGUCUAUGAAGAAAGUACAAUCAUGCGGAAACCAAGGGUAUUUAAGGAACAAUCUAACUGAUGGAUAUAAAAUAUAUUUCUUCUUUUAUCCAGAAUAAUGUUCAGAAUGUGCUGCCUUCAUUCCAAUCAGUUUUACAUUUCUGAAAAACAAUGCAGAGUUACGUAGUUUUAAUUAGGAACAUAGCCUGGCUUUACAGCAACAUGUGGGCGGACCUGGAGGUUGAAGUGCUCCCUGAAUGCAAUGUGCAUCAUCAGCCUAAUACAAUUUAACAGAGAAAAUUAGGUCUGCUGGACCUGAGGCACGCAGGAGAACAGGAUUCCUGAAGCUAGAUGAUGCAGAUUCCAGUAGCCUGUGUUUGUAUGUGUGUAUGUUUAUAUAAGUGCAUUUGCUAGAGUUUAGAACCACAAAAGAAUUGAUUAUAGAAAUAUGUUUGUUACUGUAUUCAUUCUUAUAUUUGGGGGAGUAGAAAGGAGAAAAGCCCUGAGAGGAAACAAUGAUGUAGGCUGCAGCCCCUUUGUCCUAGUUUGAGCACCACAUUUACCAAAGUGCAUCAAAGUGUCAGCAAUUCAAACAUGAAAAAUGGAUGAAGACAAUGGUGCACUUCUCACAAUUUUUUAAUAAACUGUCAAUCAAACCGCUGCAUGAAUGACUCUAAUAUCAUAUGAUGCAGCAUUCUAUAUCAAAAAUCCUUUCAAUGCUGAUACCUCCUCUCGCGCCAUCUCAUUAACACUAUCAUCAUUUGGACAUGAAAGGAGAAUGCUGCACCAUUGCCAAGGAAAAACCUUGAUCUCUGAGCAUUUGCAUUAGCCACCUAGUUCCACUGGAUGUAUGUGCGCGUUAUCAAGGUGCUCUCUGAUUGGAAGGCACUGAAAAGCUGGCAUUGUGCUAAUGCUCAAAGCAAGCAGGCUCUCCUCCUUUCCCCUCCAAACACUAUCACACUCACUUGGUGGCACUAGGGGGCAGUCCUCUCUGUUAAGAAGGCAUCUACAGCAAGAUUUUCAAUAAGGGAAAUGGGGCACAUUAAGUAUAUAUAUUAGAAAGACCUUAAGCUGUGCAGUUUACAUACAGUGUACACAGUGCACAUAGAGUUGUAUGACUCGUGCUAAUUCAUUUGGGAUAUACCAUUAAUCCGUUUGUUGUUUUUCUAGUAAAUCAUGGACUACAUAUACAAUACAAAAGACAAACUAUAAAAUACACUCAUGUUGAGACAAUAAUAAACUGCACUCUGCCCACAUUAGCUUUAUUCUUAGUUAAAAAAGCCAAGAUAUAUUAGGAAUAAUAUAAUUUGUAUAAUAUAUAUAAAACAAAAAAAAAGGGGGGGUCCAAAAAGUACUACUUAAUUUAAGCACUAAAUAUGUGGAUACAUGCACACACACAUACACACACUUGAAGGAGUUAUACUAUAAUGCCAUGUCUGUGGCAGUGUCUGUCAAGCGGCUGCUAAUUAAUGGGCCUACAACAACGGAGCACAGAGACCCCAGAGGAACAAUGUUCAUCUAGAUAUGAAUCAAUGUAAAAGCAGCAGUGAUUACCACAAAGGCAGUCAGCCAUUUCAUAUUUCUAGCACAAGGCAGUGGACCUCAAAUUUUAACCAUGAGAUUGAAAUUUACUUUGCUUGGUGAGAAGCUUAAUCUCUUUCUUUUCCCUCGCCGUUUUCCCGUUUUGCCUAUAAAUGGUGCACAUUUAACUCAUUUUGUUACAUUAUAAUACACAGACAACAACAUUAAUGAAUAUUUUCCAAAUGUGGGGAUUUGAAUGUUUAAGAAUUAGUGGCUAUAUCAGUGGGAUAACAUGAACAAAAGUAAAAAUAAAUUUGGUCCUCCACAAUGCUAGGCUUUCUUAAGUGUUCCUCAUGUGCCUAAACCUUGUUGUCUAUUGUUAUUCUCCUCUAUCAGCUGAUACAGACAAACCCGCAUCCAUACAGAUUAUAUAUUUGAUGCAAACAAAAUCUUCACACCUCCUGUGUUAUUCUCCUCAGCUCAUUAUUGUUUGUUAUGAAAAAUAGCCUCCUGUUGUAUCUCAGCACACUUUUAGUGUGUCUUGAUUUUUCUGUGUUACCCAGUAAAAACAUCUGUGAAUUGUUCCUGCAUUUACUUUAAACAGCACUUUUAUCUCAAAUGUCUGUAAAACAGUUAUUUCACUUAUGAAUUGUGUCAUUACAGGUCUCUCUUUAACACACUUUUAUUCUAAUUUAUGGAAUGUAUAAAGCAUCUUGAAAAUGUGCUAAACAAAUGAUUAAAACUCAGCUAUUAUCUCCUUUUUUCUGAAAUGUCAGUUUUUCACAAGCCUGUCUGUGGCAUCUAAAGACAGCUGA